UACGUAGGGUGCAGGCGUUAAUCGGAAUUACUGGGCGUAAAGCGUGCGCAGGCGGUCUUUUAAGUCAGAUGUGAAAUCCCCGGGCUUAACCUGGGAACUGCGUUUGAAACUGGAAGGCUUGAGUGUGGCAGAGGGGGGUGGAAUUCCACGUGUAGCAGUGAAAUGCGUAGAGAUGUGGAGGAACACCGAUGGCGAAGGCAGCCCCCUGGGCUAACACUGACGCUCAGGCACGAAAGCGUGGGGAGCAAACAGG
rnacentral:rRNA from 1 species